rnacentral:lncRNA from 1 species
GCCUGCGGGGCCCGGCUUCUCCCCGGGGAGGUGGCGCCUCAAGGUCGACCUCUGCUGUGAUGCAGACAGGAUCCUGCUGCAGUCCCCUCAGUCCACUUAGUAAAUUGCUGUGUGGGCCAAGAUGUGGACUCCGCCGGCCCCGACCCUCCGCUGUUCCCGGUCCCGGAUUAGCUAAUGAAUACCCGCGUAGCCACAGACCCCGAGCCCGCAGACUGCGCUCAGAUGCCAGCACUGAGGGUUAUUUUAUUUUAGGUACCGCGGGCUGUGUGUGGCAGGGACAAUUACACAAGCUAAAGUCAUCGAUUUCCACUGAAAAUCCUGCUGUCUCCUCCAGCUGAAUUAUGGUGGCAGCUUUUUUUUUUUUUUUUUUUAAACAGCCCAUCUUCAAACAGUGAGGAGGUGGAAGCUGAGGUUCCUUUCUCCACGCACCUUCCAGCGACUUCUGCUCAAGAACUGACCUCUAUGUCUGCCUCCCAACGCUGGCAUCGCACCUUGCUCUGCGAGAGACCCUUGUGUCAGCGCUCUUGAGCUGUAUUGAUUUUCAGAAGACUUUUAAGUAUAAAUCACAUUUUCCCCAAACUGAAUCACAACUCUAACAAAUCCCAGCUACGCAGAAAAGCCUAGUUGGGUCCUGUGGUAUAACCUAAAUUGAUAUUCUCCAUAAAUCCACAGCUAUUGCAUUCAUAUAUUCACAUUUCCUAUUCAAGGUGGUAAAGGAAGUGCAAUUUUAAAGAAAUGAUUAUUUAUACUCCCUGGUGUUCAGGCUUGAGGGGUUCAAGAGACAUUCAGACAGCUCUCAGAAGAACAUAAACCUUGCAAAAGUACAUGGAAUUUAUCAACGACAUUGACAUAGGGCCCACGUGACGUAUAUGUUCAAUAUUAAAGACGUUUGCUCUCUCUAAUAGUUAAAAGCCACGAGGGAAAUUUGUAAAAACUCCAGUCUAAUUAAAGUUUGUACUUGAAAUUCCAGAUUCCAUGUGGCGUGAACAUUUCUGAGCUUUUCAUCAGAAGAGGAAGGGUCGGGUUUUCAAGUAGACGCGUGUAAAGACUUCGGGACAGAGGCACCUGCGGCUUGAACGAGUGGCCCCGUUAGCUCCUGGGGAAACAAUACCAGAUCAAGAGCAUCCUUCCUCCGUGUCUACCCCAGAAGCUGCCUGACUUCUAGAUGAUGCCAGCACCUGCAGUCCUGACGCAUCUCUGCCUUCUGAAACUGCACGUUCUGCCUGCCAGCAAUUCACAGACACACGAACACUCCCAUGUCUUAUUUAAAUUGUAAACCUUUCUCGAUCCAGCCUCUCUGCGGAUUAUAGCCUCUCCCUCCCUCUGCAGUGAACUUCCGGAAAGUUUCAAAGUGCAGUCUGCAUUCUUUAUCAACUUCCUCCUCCUUCAUCUCCUUCACCCUCACACCCUGCAAAACUCCACUCAGAGCCAGCACACUGCACAGAUGUCUCUCAGUCCCCCCUCUUCCCCUGGCCUUGACAGCUUUGCACACUGGGGACUGCAUGCUCUGUCCUUGACUUGGGGUUUCCUGGCAGCACCUGGAGGGGCCUGGCUGCAACUCUUCUCUGCUAAGGUUCCCAUGAAUCCCUGGAGUCUUUCAUGGUGUGAACGGCUACUUUUUUUGGGUCGUGUUUAUUGAAAAGUUUCAGAAACUUCUGCAUCCUUAGUUCCCCAAGUUAGGGUUUUUAACUAUUACUUCUCUCUGGAGGGAAUCAGGGCUGGUUGGAGAAGGCUGAUUUCGUAAACAGAAUGGGGUAACCUCUAACACAGCCUUGCACUGGAAAGCAGGGAUGCACUAGGAGCCUUCUGAGGUCUUGGGACAAGCUGGGGCAAAACUGGCACAGCUUAAUGUCACAAACAGCCGUAACUGCAGUGGCUCCAAAACAUUUCAAUUACGUUGAAGUCUAUUUGUUCAUAAUGUUAUUUUCUAAAAUACAUUGAUUACCUUUGAAGAGUGCUAAGGAACCCAACUCAUUAUUUUUAAAAGCUGGCAAAGAAAAGAAACGAAGUGACCAUUUAUUAUCUUGACUUUCUUGUACAAACUAUCCCCAGACUAUAACCAAAUAAUUGAUGAUGGCAAGUUUCUCUCCAUAGAUGCAAGCCAGCUAAUAAGUGAGGCAGGGAUGUUAGAAUUAGAAUAGCACAGUUUUGCAGGCCCUUAUGAUUUAGUGAAUCUUGGCAUUGAAUGUAUAUGGCAGAGGGACAGAGGGAGAGAGAGAGCAAACCCAUCCCAGAUGGAAGCCCACCACGCUGCCUGUAGCCUGUCCUUCCUCAGAUAAUCAAACCUGACUCUGGCCAAGCCUGUACAGCAUAGGAUUCUCCAGGGGCCCAAAUCUGGCCCACAUUUGUAGAAAUAAAAGUUCUAUGGAAGAUAGCCACAUGCAUUUGUUCAGGGAGCUGUGACAGGCAGUGUCAGCCACAGAGCUUCGUGUAUUUACCAUCACUUACGAGACAAUUAGAGGGAUAUAAAC